rnacentral:lncRNA from 10 species
UGCUGUCCUGCACCUGAGAGCAUCAUUGAGGCCUUGGCUAAAAUAUCACCUCCACAGAGAGGACUUUUCUAAUAGGAUCUAAAGUACCCACAGCCUCCACCUCCCCGGUUCAAGUGAUUCUCCUGCCUCAGCCUCCUGAGUAGCUGGGAUUAGCCUACUAUAGUAAUUUCCCUUCCUUCCUUCCUUCCUUCUUUUCUUUCUUUUUCUUUUUUUCUUUCUGAGACAGGGUCUCACUCUAUGAAUGGCAUGAUCACAGUUCACUGCAGCCUUGACCUCCUGGACUCAAGAGAUCCUCCCCCCUCAGCCUCCUGAGUAGAGUAGCUAGGACUACAGGUGUAUACCACUGUGCCUGGCUAAUUUUUUAUUUAUUGUGGAGGCGGGGUCUCGCUAUGUUGUCCAGGCUGGUCUCAAACUCUUGGGCUCAAGCAAUCCCCCCACCUCGGCCUCUCAAAGUGUUGGGAUUACUGUGCCUAGCCAGUUUCUUUAUCAUCUUUUCUAGCCUCUACUUGCUUUCUAAUCCCAAAGCUAGUACUAUAUGUGUUAGAGCUGGUUUUGGUUUUGGUUUGGUUUAUAGCAAUGCCUGAUUUCUAGGCAUCAAUUUAAUGCUUCAUAACAAGUCACCCUAAAAUUUAGUUGCUUGAAACAGCACUCACUUAUGACUUCUCGUAAGUUCAUAUGCUGGCUGGCAAGUUCUCCUCAUCUGGCCUAGGCUUGGCUGAUCUUAGCUGGGCUUGCUCCUGCAUCUGCAGUCAGCUGGGGACUGGAUGUUCUAGGAUGUCCUGGUCUGGGACAACUUAACUGUCUUCCUCAUGUCUCCCACAUGCCUGAGAUAGAUGGCAUAGUCAUGUUCUCAUGACCAGAGGCCAGCCCUAGUAUAUUCUCAUAACCGUUGUAGGAUUCUAAGAGAGGAGGCAGAAACACACAGCACUUCUUCUAGUCUCUGCUUGACUCAACCUUGUAACUGACAUUGGCCAAAGCAAGUCAAGCGGCCAAGCCCAGAGUCAGUAUGGAAAUGCAGUAGCAAGAGGCGUAGAUACACAGAGGCAUGAAAAAUCAGGGACGUUCACACAGUGUCUACUCCACCUGUGAAGUGGGUAUUAGAAUUAAUAUCAUCAUCCCCAUUUUACAGAUGGGAAACUGAGGCACCGCGAAGUUAAAUGUCUUGCCCAAGAUCUUAGCAAGGGGGUAGCUUUGAACCCAGGUGAUGUGGCUCUGGAGUCCCUAUGCUUUCAAGCACAGCGCUCUACCUUCCUCUGGGGACAGGCCCAGGGCAUUCCAGGAGCCUCCAACCCAUCUGGAAAAUGGGUCAUGCAGCCUCCUCUUGGAGCCCUCCAAGAAGGGCAAGCUCACCACCUGCCUGCCUCAGCCAUUGCCCUCAGAGACAAAAGCCAAAGAAAGAUCGGCAAGGUCUGGCUGCGAGCGGUCACCGGAGGAGGCCCCUGCCAGUCCCUGCCUCCCAGCCCUUAAGUGCCUGUGGCCGCAAAGUGAAGCCUUUCAGGGGUUAAAGGCAAGGAAGAGAGAAACAAAAGAAGGAAUAAAGUCAAGAAAUGUGCCAUGAAGCUUCUUGCCGCGCAAAGCAGAGAAAGUCAUUUCCAACUUCUUUCAUCUCGUAGAUGAAGCCACUAAAUAAAGGGGCAAAGCGGCGAACACAAGGGCUUUUAAUCUGUCUCAUCUCCUUCAUAAUAACUGCAAAUUUUCCCUGGGCCCCUGGGAGUGAGCCUCUUCCCUGCGCUCGGCCUUAUCUCCCCCUCCACAUUUCGCCGGCGCCGCGCCGCCCCCCGCGCGCGCUGCCCGGGCCGUCCCGGCGAGGCCUGGGG